AGUUAGGGUUGCCAACUCCCUGAAAAAUAAAUAUAGGGACACCUAGUUGGCAGGGCCGGCUGACCCGAUUGCGUUCACCCCUCCCGGCUUAGUGAAAGCCGGGAGGUUUUUAGUGAUACGAAUACAUGGAAAACUAAUUAUUAUUCAACCAUUUAUUUAUUUAAAUCUGUCCUGCUCAACUUAACAGAAUAAAAUAAAUAUCUUUCUUCUAACAGAACGCAGUCCUGCUUAACGUAACAGAAUAAAAUAACAAAAAACAAUAGAAAGCAGAAAAUUCUUGUAAUAGUGCACAUUUAGUGCAAUAAGAAAAGUGCAAACAGAAAGUCUGUGGAAAAGUUGUAAACAUAAACACUUUGUACCUCAAAAUCUUGUCUUCCGGUAUCUUCUUGCAACAACGGUCCCUCGACCAAUGAAAAGAGCCGGAUUCUGCAUUGUCAUUCUUGUGUGUGAGUGUGCUGUCAGCUCAUUGGUCACAGACCAGGACAGGGCUGGCAAUAAGAAUACCAUAAAUUUUCAUAUAAAACGCCCUGUCAUUCAUUGAUUCCAUUGACAUUUUACAGACUAUUUUGAUUCUCGCGGAAAUACGGGACAAAGUAUUUUCAGCUCAAUACGGGACACGCAAUUUCUUUUCUAAAUACGGGACGAUUCCGUUAUUUCAAGGGGCGGUUGGCGACCCUACUUCCAGUCCUUUUGAAUGCCACCUGCUGAUCCACAGAUUUUCUUUUUGCUUUUCACAUAAGCAUCUCUUAAUGCAUUUCAUCUUUACUUGCAAAUGUUGACUGGAACAAAGAGACACAGGAGAAUAAAAUAAUUUCACAUGUAACUUCUCUUUGCUUGUUUUUUCACUCACAGGUAAUUGGUUUCUGAGGACUCACUGGUCAGCCUAGCAUUCAGCUAUCACAUAAGGCCAGCAAAAGACACUUGGAAGGAGGCACAGGGCUUCUGGGGAAAAUUAAAAUUCCCAAAUUGCCAAGGAGCAAUAGAUGGAAAACAUGUUAUCAUACAAGCACCACCAUCAUGGUGGAGUGUAUACUGGAUUGGAGGAAUUGAUACCAGGGUGAUGCAGAUUUCCCACUCAAGCCAUAUUGGAAUCAAACUUCACCCACCAAAAGGAGACACACUUGUGGUGGCUGCAUGCAACUACCUGUCUUAACCCUAGUGAAAACCAGAGGUUGCCAGAUGAGGCAGAGCAGAUGGCCCCAGUAAGAAACACAGAAGGAAACAGGGCAUCAAGGGAGGCCUGUAAUGUGCGGGAGGUCUUUUGCACCUUCUUCAACUCUCCUGAAGGCUUCUUGGCAGGACGGAAUGUUUUUUUGCAGACUCAAAGAAACUGUGCAUAUUCAUUUGCAAAUAGCUGUCUUUUGUUUUUCAGAUUUGUUAUUUUUUAUUAUGUUGGAAAACAAAUUUAAAAAGGCUGAUAACUGAUUUUGCGACCAAGUUGUAUUUUUGUAUUCAUGAAAAGGUCUUGUUUAUGGUGUCUUUCUUUUGAAAAUAAAAUAUAUGAA